CAGCAGCCGCGGUAAUACGGAGGAUCCGAGCGUUAUCCGGAUUUAUUGGGUUUAAAGGGUGCGUAGGCGGCCUGUUAAGUCAGAGGUGAAAGGCGGUAGCUUAACUAUCGGAGUGCUUUUGAUACUGACGGGCUUGAAUGCAGCUGAGGUAGGCGGAAUGUGACAAGUAGCGGUGAAAUGCAUAGAUAUGUCACAGAACACCAAUUGCGAAGGCAGCUUACUAAAGUGUGAUUGACGCUGAGGCACGAAAGCGUGGGGAUCAAACAGGAUUAGAUACCCUGGUAGUCCACGCCCUAAACGAUGAAUACUCGAUGUUGGCGAUAUACGGUCAGCGUCUAAGCGAAAGCGUUAAGUAUUCCACCUGGGGAGUACGCCCGCAAGGGUGAAACUCAAAUAAAUUGACGG
rnacentral:rRNA from 1 species